UCUACACUCAAACUAAAAGAAGACAUUGUGAUGGAGGAUAAUCAAAACCUGGCUAAAGAAACAACCACAUGACAUUACAAAAACUCAAAAAGGUCUAGCAGGUGGUACAAAUUCAUUGAACAGUCUAGAUUCAGGUUGCAGACUCAGCUGCUCCACUGAAGAAGAUAAAUGCAGCAGAUGAAAAUUUUUAUCUGCGUUUAUUACGUGGCAAGAAGGCAGUGUGCAGCAACCCAAAGCUCUUAAGAGGGGAUUGUUCACUAUAACCUCCAAAACCAGAACCCAAAUGCCAAUGGCCAACAAACAUUUGAGUGGCACCAGCCACUAGUAAAAAGUUCUAGCAAAUUGAUUUAGCUGCCGCUAUAACAGCCUCUGCUGUUACGCCAAGCUCCUUGUACAACUUUAGUGCAGGUGCACUUGCCCCAAACCGAUCAAUACCAAUUGACUUCCCUUUGCUCCC
rnacentral:lncRNA from 1 species